ensembl:lncRNA
GAUGCCGGCGUCCAGGGGAGCAGGUGGCUGUCGUCAGGAGCACAUCACCUCUCACACCAAUGGUCCUUGGACACCAAUCAGCUAUGUGGUUCUUUCUGGUGAGCUGCUCAUUAGCUCAGCACGUGUUUCUAACGUGUGUACAGCAUGCCAAGUUGCCUGCAGAAGGAACAAACGUGAGCCUUUUUCCUGUGAGGCCAGCUCUCUGGCUAAGACACAAUAGCUAAGAUCAGUGUUUAUUUUUUAAAGUAAGCUUUAAAUCAUGUUGUUACAGGAAAAUUGAAUGCAUUUGGCAAGGCUGAGGUGGGGAGAUUCCUUCAGGGCACAGGAAACCGUUUACUGCAGGAAGGAUGUGCUGGCGAGAAAACUGGACAAAAGUUAGAUUAGAACCACACUGCAGAGCCGACCCUGGAUUCCGUCCGACGGCCACCGAUGGGGGCCCGCCCAGCCUAUCUUCGGCUUGGUCAUUGACUCCUGGGCUCCAGCGACCACUCGCGGCCUUCACGAAAAUCUAGGGAAGCUCCCCCUGCGUCUCUGAGCCACACGUGGUGUCUCCGUGACUUCAGGAGUUGGGUGUUCCAAAGAGGACGGGAACAGGCAAACCAGCUUUCUGCUCUGAGCAGCCGGUCUGUGGCCAACGCAAACCUGUCGGUCUGAGUACUGCAGGCUCUUCACACUCAGAGCUCACGUCCUCCCAUGAGUCAGACGUAGCAUCCACCUCUGAGACCCAGCAACGCCCUGCUGCAAGCGUCACUGCUGCUGCCGCCGCCAUCGUCAUUGCUCCCAGCAGCUAAUCUGCCUAGAGGAAGCCGCACGCCGGCUGCUUCCUCUCCACCGUAGAAUGCCAUCUUCACGCGCACCUGGGAGGAGGGGUUUAGCAGCACCAUUUUAUGGAACAGGGGCCUCAGAGAAUCAUAGAUUUGCCCAAACACGUACCGUUGUUAAGUUCCCUGCCAAAUAGGAAGAAUGGGAGAGUGGAAAUCAACUGGACUCCUUCUAGUCAGAGCAGCUAUUACACAAUAAAUUAGUGUCCUUUCUGGUAACAUCGAAUCUGUUUUUUUUGGAGGGGACAGUCUCACUCUGUUGCCCAGGCUGGGGUGCAGCAAUGCAAUUUUGGCUCACUGCAGCCUCGGCCUCCUGCGUUCAAGUGAUUCUCAUGACUCGGCCUCCCGAGUAGCUGGGAUUACAGGCACGCACCACCACGCCCAGCUACUUUUUGUAUUUUUAGUAGAGGCGGGGUUUUGCCAUGAUGACCAGGCUGGUCUCGAACUCCUGACCUCAGGUGAUCCCCCCACCUCAGCUUCCCAAAGUGUUGGGAUUACAAACGUGAGCCACCGUGCCCAGCCUCCUGCUUGAAUCUUAAUAUCCAACCUCUAUCAGGUGUUUACAAUCGGAUUGGACCCAGGAAACGAAGGCCAGCAGUUGGGGUGAUGUAUUGCCAAUGCCAGUUUCCCUAAGUGCAGCCAGGCCUCGGCACCCAAACCCAGGCAAAUGCCCAAUGGGCCCAUCUGAGACUGCAGCUUCUCUCUGCCGACAGAUGUGCUUUUCCCGCCACUCCCAUUUCUGCACUAUUUAUGGUGCAUGUGGCCUACACUCAGGUGAACCUGGCAUUGUCACGUGGAGUCCUCAUGACUUUUUAAAAAGUAGAAGUAAUUUUUGUCAUCAAAUUAUUUCACAGGCCAGGCGCAGUGGCUCGUGUCUGUAAUCCCAGCACUUUAGGAGGCCUAGGUGCUCAGAUUACUGGAGCCCAGGUGUUUGAGACCUGCCUAGGCAACAUGGUGAAGCUCCAUUUCUAGAAAAAAAAUACAAAAAUUAGGUGUGGUGAUGCAUGCCUGGAGUCCUAGCUACUUGGGAGGCUGAGGCGGGAGAAUCACUUGAGCCCAGGGAGGCAGAGGUUCCAGUGAGCUGUGAUAGCACCACUGUACUCCAGCCUGUGCAACAGAGAAACACCCGGUCUCAAAAAAUGAAAAAAAAAAAAGAAAAAGU